rnacentral:tRNA from 1 species
UGCCUUGUCGUCUAGCGGUAGGAUGCGACGCUCUGAACGUCGAGACGGAGGUUCGAGUCCUCCCGAGGCAG